AACACACCAAUUUUUCACUUUUUACCUAUAAUAUUUGACUCUCCGUCUUAUUAAAAAAUUUACGAUUAACAUUUUUAUUUUUAUUAGAUGAUAAAUCAUAAAUAGUACUUAACGUAUGAUUAUUUUUUUCUUAAUUUCUUAAAAAAAUUUCAAAGACGGAUGGUCAAACGCUGGACACAGAAACCGAAGAGUUGGCUUAUU
rnacentral:pre_miRNA from 1 species